CCAUAUAAAUUUCUCAACUAAACUGUUUAAUGUGUUUUUAAAGCAUUUGCAUACGUUUAUAGCAUGAUGCUUUAAGUCUGCAAUAACCCAGCUUAAAGGUUAUAGCAUAUAUACCACAUAUGUUUUGCAUACGGAUAAAUCUCGGGCAAACCCAAGAAAACGUGUGACGGAGAUACUGGCCAAUCAUGAUGCUUCUACAGCUACAUCCUCCAAUACACGAAUGCGAUACUGCCAGGCCUUCUUCUGGCCACAUUAUUUUGUCCAAUGGCCAUACAGUGAUCUUUAUGGUCAGGGGUAAUUUUCCUGCUUACUAAGUUCAAAUAAGCACUUGCAGACAUCAUGAGGGAAGAGCUGAUAUGAUCUUCAAAUCAUCUUGAGCAGCCUUAGAGUUACUUGAGGGCACCAGAGGAUGACUGUUCUACAAGCGGAAAUUGGCUUGAGUCGAAAGUAGAACUGGAACGUGGGGAAGUCCGAGAAAGAACGGCAGGCGCCGGGAGCCAUGGUAACGGAGACAGUCGGGAGAGCCGCUAUGCCUGCAUAUUCGGGGGAGGAGGGGAGGAGAUUAGAGAGGUGCCAUUCUUUGGAGCCCCGUUAAAAGUGCUGCCCGACGGAACCGCGCUCCUGGAACAGAAGGGGCAAAGUGACAAGCAGGACAUUCUGUCGGAAACUUUGAAUCGGCAAAGCGGAAUAUCGUGUGAAUAACAAACAGCAAGCAUGUCAUGCAUUACGAAACACAUCCAUGUCAGGAAAAACGACAUACUGCUAAAAUAUCUUCAAUUGUCUCCCCUCCCCCAUUACAGCUUCACAGUCGUUGUACUUCAGGCUUUGCAGUCUUGUCUGCUGCUAUGCAUGUACAUUGUACAAUUCAUAUGUAUUCUUCCAGAUACUUCCAUAUCUCCAUUUACAUAUUAAGUUUUUAGACAUAUUUACUGUUGUCCUACGUCUUGUUACCUUGCAUCUGUCUGCAGGAAAAAUGAAAGUAAGCCAUCUCUUCGUAUUCAGUAGCCUACUUGUACUAAUACAAAUGACAAUAAACCUUUAGAAUCCUUUGAAUGAA